AGAACAACAGGGAUUGCCCCAGUAACGGCGAGUGAAGCGGCAAUAGCUCAAAUUUGAAAUCUGGCUCUUUCAGGGUCCGAGUUGUAAUUUGCAGAGGGCGCUUUGGUGUCGGCAGCAGCCUAAGUUCCUUGGAACAGGUCAUCAUAGAGGGUGAGAAUCCCGUAUGUGGCUGCUUGUCUUCACCGUGUAAAGCCCCUUCGAUGAGUCGAGUUGUUUGGGAAUGCAGCUCUAAAUGGGAGGUAAAUUUCUUCUAAAGCUAAAUAUUGGCCAGAGACCGAUAGCGCACAAGUAGAGUGAUCGAAAGAUGAAAAGCACUUUGGAAAGAGAGUCAAAAAGCACGUGAAAUUGUUGAAAGGGAAGCGCUUGCAGCCAGACGUGCCCGCAGUUGCUCAUCCGGGGUUCUCCCCGGUGCACUCUUCUGUGGGCAGGCCAGCAUCAGUCCGGGCGGUUGGAGAAAGACCUGUGUCAUGUAGCUCUUUUCGGGGAGUGUUAUAGGGCAGGUGGAAUGCAACCAGCCUGGACUGAGGUCCGCGCAUCUGCUAGGAUGCUGGCGUAAUGGCUGUAAGCGGCCCGUCUUGAAACACGGACCAAGGAGUCUAACAUCUAUGCGAGUGUUUGGGUGUCAAGCCCGAGCGCGUAAUGAAAGUGAACGGAGGUGGGAACCCCUUGGGGUGCACCAUCGACCGAUCCUGAUGUCUUCGGAUGGAUUUGAGUAAGAGCAUAGCUGUUGGGACCCGAAAGAUGGUGAACUAUGCCUGAAUAGGGUGAAGCCAGAGGAAACUCUGGUGGAGGCUCGCAGCGGUUCUGACGUGCAAAUCGAUCGUCAAAUUUGGGCAUAGGGCGAAAGACUAAUCGAACUUAU
rnacentral:rRNA from 1 species